rnacentral:rRNA from 1 species
CUCUUCGAUGUUCUGGGCUGCACGCGCGCUACAGUGGCAAAGACAGAGAGCAUGAAUUAAUUAUAGAGUCGCAUCGAGGGAUGUGACGAAUCAGCAAUCGUUGUCGUGAUUGGGAUUGAGCGUUGUAAUAUCUGCUCAUGAAAGAGGAAUUCCUCGUAAGCGCGAGUCACUAACUCGUGUUAAUUACGUCUCUGCCCUUUGUACACACCGCCCGUCGCUACUACCGAUUGAACUGGUUUUUGAAGUGUAGAGAUUGGCAGGCAUGGUUUACGUGCAUUGCAAAGAACCACUCUGAAAAAAUCGUUCGAGAAGAAGUAAAAGUCGUAACA